rnacentral:rRNA from 1 species
UACGGAGGGAGCUAGCGUUGUUCGGAAUUACUGGGCGUAAAGCGUGCGCAGGCGGUUUUGUAAGUUUGUCGUGAAAGCCCCGGGCUCAACCUGGGAAUUGCGAUGAAGACUGCAAGGCUUGAAUCUGGCAGAGGGGGGUAGAAUUCCACGUGUAGCAGUGAAAUGCGUAGAGAUGUGGAGGAACACCGAUGGCGAAGGCAGCCCCCCUGGGUCAAGAUUGACGCUCAUGCACGAAAGCGUGGGGAGCAAACAGGA